GUGUAAAAGGAAGAAAACGUCUCCUGGACCUAAUUGCCACAAUGCUGGUACUACAGUUUAUUCGCACCUGGUUGGAAAAAAAGGGAAUAGUGUUCAAAUCACCGAUGGAACUGGAUGACGCUUCUAUUUCCAGAUGUACGUAACAUUGAUGCAGGAGCAAAUUACAUGGGGGUAUAGACACAAGAUUUUCUUACUGGUGGAGUGUGAACCAAAAAGUGUAGAGGCCACUGGACUAAAGGAGGCCGGCUGAAUCAGUGAAAAUAUUCAAAGCCAGUUUUGUUGUUUUCAGCAGUCAGAAUAUUCCCUGGGCUUUUGAGGCAAUAAAGAAAGCAAGUGAAUGGGUAAGAAGAACUGAAGGACAGUACCCAUCUAUCUGCCCACGGCUUGAACUGGGGAAAGACUGGGACUCUGCCACCAAGCAGUUGCUGGGACUCCAGCCCAUAAACACUGUAUCCCCUCUUCAUAGAGUCCUCCAUUUCAGUCAAGGCUAAGUCAGAUGAAACUGAAUUUUAAACUUUUUGCAUGCUUCUAUGUAGAAAAUAAUCAAAUGAUAGUAGAUACUUAUAAUGAAACUGGAUUAAGGUUUUAUUCAGUGUAGCAAUUAGUGU